AUAAUAUUUGGACUGUCGGUCUACCGAGCAAUAUUACCCGCUCGGUAAAAGAUUUUCUCCGUCUU
rnacentral:pre_miRNA from 1 species